GUGGUCUAGUGGUUAGAGGGUCCGCCUGGGAUGCGUAAGGCCGUGGGUUCAAUUCCCAGCCGUCA